rnacentral:SRP_RNA from 13 species
GGUACAAAGGUGGGGGGGAGCCUCGUGCCACCUGGAAGGACCCGUGUGAUGCCGCUGCAAUAGGCGCCCUCCUCACGGCCGCGGAGAUGGAAUGCGCGCCCCGGGAGAAGGUGGAGGUCGCCGAGGCGAUGGACUGGGAGGGCCUGCCGAAGGC